rnacentral:tRNA from 1 species
GCUGGAAUGGCCGAGUCGUUAAGGCGAGUGAUUUGAAUUUCUCACUAUCACUUGGUGUUUCACCGCGUAGGUUCAAAUCCUGCUUCCAGCG